rnacentral:misc_RNA from 1 species
CGGUUGUUCGUAUUUCAUUUUCUUUUUCCUAAAGUCACUAAGUUACUUACGGAAUCUCAAAUCGUUUCCAAGAAAACUUCGUUAGAAUUGGAUGUGUUAAGCAUAUAGGCCAAUAGCUUCAACGCGCUUAGGCCACCACCUAUAAGCUCCUCUUACUUAAUUAUUGAGGAGAUAGGUUUCAAGACUUUCGACGCUACUUUCUUUCUUCUCUUAUGAUUAUGAUAUUUAUUUCUUGUAUUACACUCGCUUCCAUGCUGCUCAAGCAGAGCUAACUACAGGGCCGAAUGAACUGGGACACCCAGACCUUUCUUAUGCGGAAGCAAACCCUUUCUUUCUAUACGAGUUUGAUUCAGUUGCUUAGGGUGAACAAGCCAUACCAUUCACCUUCUAGCCUCGCCUAGGAGUCUGUGGACAUCCAUUUACAUCAUUUCUUUGAAAAGCUCCGACUUCCUUCUUUUCCUUUCCCACACACUCGCUCUACUUUUGAGAUAUCGUGUAAUCAUAUCUCUCUUUGACUUUCUCUCCCCUACUUCAAUUAAAGCUUGCUCAGUGUCCGGAAUCGGGACCGGGGUGGACCAUGGUAACUCGGCGAGUCAUUUACUCAUGAGAUCCAGCCUUGCCUCCCAUACUCACCUCAACCUGCUUUCUCUUUUUUUUUGUUUUAGACUUGGAUCUAGGGGCCCAGCACCAUAUCCCUGCUUGAAGAGAUGGUCAUCUGUGCUCCACAGCUACUGGUGUCAUCACCCUACAAAGAGGGGGAAGCAACCAAGAUGUAUGUCGUCCAACUCAACCUCAGACUCUUUCUUCCCGACCUAUUUGACUCUCUGGCCGCAGUUAUUUAGGUGGUAUCCCGAGAUUGAAGAGAUCGAAUUACUCCCCGGAACACACGAAAGAAAAAUAUGAACUAGGUAAAUAGAAAUGGAAAAAAGAUGUUUCCAAUUCAUCAAAAUCAGAAGCUUUUUCUACAUCCAUAUGAUCUACUAAAGUAGAUCGAUAUUGCCCAUAUAAUAAAAGCAGAUCUUGGUCCAUGGAGUCCCAAGAAGGUAAGAACUCCAACCUGUCCGAUGCUUCUUCGGCCAAAUACAAUAUACAAGUGGGACCUGCACUAUGAGCAAGCUGUGCGAAAAACCGCUUCUUUUUUCCGGUUCCGAAACAACUUGGGCGAAAUAGGGUUCUACCGGGAAACCAUAGAUUUUUUAGUUUUCGCCAUUGGUUACUGGUCAAGCCACUGGAAUGGAAUAAGAUAAGAAUCUCUGGAGAUCUUUCCUCUCCACUUACUCGAUACAGGCUUUCCCUCUGUAGAAGACUUCUUCCAAAUGGCAUAAUUGUCCGACACUACGUUCCUCGAUCUUCAAAGAAGACUGACUCCUCCUACUCCUCCUUCUCCUUUAGGAUAGGAUCGUCGUUGGUCCUUCUUUCACUAAUGAUCUCACCAUUUUCUAGUAGUUCGCGCGAACGCGCGAGGGACUAUCCUUUCUAUCGCUUGCGCUUGCUUUUCACUCUCAAGACAACGGUCUUUCUCUUCUAUAAAGCGAAGCAAAGCGCAUGGCGCUGAAGUAAGACAAUCGAAAGCACGGUGAAAGGAGUACUAUCCAGGUGCGAAGAGCUCGAUCCGGU